UACGUAGGGUGCGAGCGUUGUCCGGAAUUACUGGGCGUAAAGAGCUCGUAGGUGGUUUGUCGCGUUGUUCGUGAAAUCUCACGGCUUAACUGUGAGCGUGCGGGCGAUACGGGCAGACUAGAGUACUGCAGGGGAGACUGGAAUUCCUGGUGUAGCGGUGGAAUGCGCAGAUAUCAGGAGGAACACCGGUGGCGAAGGCGGGUCUCUGGGCCGAUAUUGACGCUGAGGAGCGAAAGCGUGGGGAGCAAACAGG
rnacentral:rRNA from 1 species